rnacentral:rRNA from 1 species
GAUUAAGUUAUUAAGGGCGCACGGUGGAUGCCUUGGCACUAGAAGCCGAUGAAGGACGUUACUAACGACGAUAUGCUUUGGGGAGCUGUAAGUAAGCUUUGAUCCAGAGAUUUCCGAAUGGGGAAACCCAGCAUGAGUUAUGUCAUGUUAUCGAUAUGUGAAUACAUAGCAUAUCAGAAGGCACACCCGGAGAACUGAAACAUCUUAGUACCCGGAGGAAGAGAAAGAAAAUUCGAUUCCCUUAGUAGCGGCGAGCGAAACGGGAAGAGCCCAAACCAACAAGCUUGCUUGUUGGGGUUGUAGGACACUCUAUACGGAGUUACAAAGGACGACAUUAGACGAAUCAUCUGGAAAGAUGAAUCAAAGAAGGUAAUAAUCCUGUAGUCGAAAAUGUUGUCUCUCUUGAGUGGAUCCUGAGUACGACGGAGCACGUGAAAUUCCGUCGGAAUCUGGGAGGACCAUCUCCUAAGGCUAAAUACUCUCUAGUGACCGAUAGUGAACCAGUACCGUGAGGGAAAGGUGAAAAGCACCCCGGAAGGGGAGUGAAAUAGAACCUGAAACCGUGUGCUUACAAGUAGUCAGAGCCCGUUAAUGGGUGAUGGCGUGCCUUUUGUAGAAUGAACCGGCGAGUUACGAUUUGAUGCAAGGUUAAGCAGUAAAUGUGGAGCCGU